GGGCUCGGCGUGCUCACGCCUGCGCUGGAGCUGCUCUCCGCUUGGCAGCACGGAUGUCGUCCCAGAGCCCCAGAGAAGCAGGAUGGGCGCAGGGGCUGUGACUCAGCCGUGAUGUUUCCCUGGCAGAUCUCCCCUACCCUGGAGCAUGGGUGCUGCAGCUGCCAAAGGAAUCUCAAGAGCCUGUUGAAACCUUCAAUUAAGCUUCCUGUUGCCUGUUAUUCAAGAUUCAUGGGGGAGGAAACUGAGGCACAGGGAAAUCUGAAGGAUAACAGAGCCACUGUUGAAGCAGCAGAGAGAAACUACUUCUAGCUCAGCUUCCACCACCAAAGAGCCCUGCGUGGAGGGAGAGGAAAGCAAAGUCUGGAUGUGACAUGGCUGAAUUGUCACCCGACCUCCUGAGCAGGUAUGCAAAGAAUACGUAUUUCUGUAUGUAAAAGCAUAAGCAUUAACCCCUGAGAGAAAGGCCAAAAAAUGGUUAAAAUCAGUAUAUUCUAGCUGUCUUGAUGAUCUUUGACUAACUGUUUCAAUUUAGGGAGUCCUGGCUCUCAGAGCACUUCCUGCAUGUCCGUGAGUUAAGCCUUACAAUGCACCAUGUGCUAGAAGAGAAACAUGGUGCAAACCCCAGAGCAACCUCUUGUCGUGAUGUUCCUCAUGAUUUUAUGGGACCAAACCCUUGCUGUUUCUUCCAGAAUUCCAUGUGUCCUUAGCAGUAGAUAUUAGGCAGUGCUAUGAAGGCAUCAUAAGGGAGGGACUGUGAAUCAUAGUGACUGUAAUGGGAAACUGUCCUGCCUACCCAAGGAUAAAUCUGGCUUCUUCAUCUAAGACUUACUUGUUUUAAUCAUAUUCAUCAGCUCUUACCUACAAGCCUGGGCUUUCCUUUCUCCUAAUCCAUUGUGCCAGAACUUCACUUUGAACAUUACUGUGGGAUGCAAGAUUGCUAGAAUUUUGUCCUGCUAACUGCCUCUUUUUGCAAAUGAGUUCCACAGUGCCUUAAGUUUUAAUAAUCUGAACUGGAUAGCCCUGCUGGCAGGACAGCCUAGAUAUUGUUUCCUCACAGCAUGGGGGAUUUACCAGAUGGAAGAACAGUGUUUUCAAUCAGACUUGUAGCUCUGAAGAAGAGAAAUGCCUAAAACAAUCUGAAAGGGAAGAAACUAAAACUCAGCAGCUUCUUAGGUAAAGACAGUAUAAGGAAGUCAUGUUCUUUUGUUUCAACAGUUUGCAGAAACCCCCAAAUCCCAGGGCUUUAUCUCACUUACACCAGGUUGUCUGUAAGUUACUCUGGCAAUGUUCUUGUUUUAAUAAGAGAGGACCGUAAAACAAGAGCAUAUCUAUAAUUUAACCUUUAAUGAAAUCAAUGUUCCGC
rnacentral:lncRNA from 1 species